rnacentral:tRNA from 1 species
GGGGCAUUAGCUCAGUUGGUAGAGCGCUUGCAUGGCAUGCAAGAGGUCAGCGGUUCGAACCCGCUAUGCUCCA